rnacentral:rRNA from 1 species
CAAUAGCGUAUAUUAAAGUUGUUGCAGUUAAAAAGCUCGUAGUUGGAUUUCGGGGCCCCGGACGCUCGUUGCGUUGUCUGCUGGACUUGUCCUGUGGGCGCGUGGCGGUCGUCGGUCUCUGAGUCGGAUCGGUCCGCCGAGAGGCGUGCACUGACCGACGGCCCCUGUUGUCUCUCGGGUUGCCCGCCUGCACUUAACUGUUGCGGACGGGGAGUUCGGGACGUUUACUUUGAACAAAUUAGAGUGUUCCAAGCAGGCCGUUUGCUUUGAAUACAUUAGCAUGGAAUAAUGGAAUAGGGCUGCGUGGCCUGUCGUCUGACGGCGGGUCCUCGGGUCCUAUUUUGUUGGUUUUCGGGACCGCAGUCAUGGUCAAGAGGGACAGUUGGGGGCAUUCGUAUUCAGUUGUCAGAGGUGAAAUUCUUGGAUUUACGGAAGACGAACAACUGCGAAAGCAUUUGCCAAGGAUGUUUUCAUUAA